rnacentral:rRNA from 1 species
AUUGAACGCUGGCGGCAGGCCUAACACAUGCAAGUCGAACGCGUGGCGGAGGGGAGAGUAAUGUCUGGGAAACUGCCUGAUGGAGGGGGAACACUACUGGAAACGGUCGCUAAUACCGCAUAACAUCAGGUGUGCCCAGAUGGGAUUAGCGUGUUGGGGGGGUAACGGCUCCCCAAGGCGACGACCCCUAGCUGGUCUGAGAGGAUGACCAGCCACACUGGAACUGAGACACGGUCCAGACUCCUACGGUAGGCAGCAGUGGGGAAUAUUGCACAAUGGGCGCAAGCCGGAUGCAGCCAUGCCGCGUGUAUGAAGAAGGCCUUCGGGUUGUAAAGUACUUUCAGCGGGGAGGCGUUACCCGCAGAAGAAGCACCGGCUAACUCCGUGCCAGCAGCCGCGGUAAUUC